CCAGGACUGGCCCCCACCACGCCUGGGCAACUGGUGUCCUCGGCAGAUCUUCCCAGCAGACAGGACUCGGUGAAGCCUGCGGGGCCACAGGACCAGCCUACUCACUGCCCAGCCCUCAGGCCGGGGGAUGGAAUCAGGGCCCUCUUUGGACAUCUGGGGCCACGCCUGCCACCCUCAGGGGCCCAGGGCAGACAGGUGGGGUCUGUGUGGGCAGCACCCCUACCCCAGCGGGCAGAGUCCCCAGGACGUCCAGGGAAGCUUCCUUCUCACCGUGCCAGGCCCGGUGUCUGACUGGUGAGUUUGAGGCACUGAACAGGCUGAACUCAGAGUGUUGGGGAAUCGGGGUCAGAAAAGUCCAGGCAGAUCCCUUCAGGGGCUCCCUUGGGGGUCUCACAGGCCAAGGGCCUCCACCCCUGGGCACUAGCUGGGCCAUGAGCCACUGUGAUGGUGGCCGUGCUGGGCUCUCGGGCUGUGCCCCCUGUUUUGUGGGGCCUGGCUCUCUGUCCUGGCUGGGUGCCACUGGCUUUCUUUGUGUGGGUGAAGCUGUCUAGAUUCCCAGCCGGGACUGGAGAGCCGCCUCCCAUGGGCAGAAAGGUGAAGUCAAGCUCCUCUCCUCCACGGUCCUCCGGUGCCCAGAGAGGGGAGGGAAGGGCUCGGGGCCACACAGCACACGGGGGUGAGAGGGGGCCCUACUGCCUGCCACGUGCUACCGGGAGUGCGUUGGAGCCUCACGGGCACUGGAGGUAGACACUUCUCCCCAUUUCACAGAUGAGAAAACCAAGACACAGCCCUGACUCCCCAGCCCAGGCCCUUUCUCAGGCCCCUUUCCAGGCCUCUGCCGUGGGAGGUGCACCUCGUCUCCCCCACAUCCCGGCUCAGCCCCCCGGGGGCCGCAGCCCCCCUGCCCACCAGGCUGGUGCCAGGGAGUGCUGGCUCCUGGAAACCCGGAGAAAGCAGACAACUCGUCCGCGUUGUCCUGGAGAUGCAGCCGACAUCGGCCUGCUUGUCCUGCUGCCAGGGCCGCUGGGGGCCCCAUCGAUGUCCACCCGGCCAGACACAGCUCCCGUCAUUCAAUAUGGCAAAGUGUGGUGGUGCUGGCUCCGCAGACCCCACUGUGGAGGCGAAAGACCACCGAAGCCCUGCGGGAUUUUCACAUCCAGGCAGUGAAUGGAGAUGACACACUUUGCACUGAACAUGUACUGUGUAAGCCUUUCCCGGCGCUGCGUGGCUUGGAAGGCACUGGGGGGCGGGGGUGGAGGCUGGGGGUCCCUGGACUGAGAGCCCCUCUCAGCCAUGCUGUGCUGGGCAACCUGGGACUGGCCCCUUAGCCCCUCUGGGUCUUGAUUCCUUGUGAAGAGUUUCUGCCCAUCCCUUGAGCCUCAGAACGUCCUGGGGUGAAGCACAGCCCCUACUCUUGCUGCCCUGGUAGAAGACGAGGCCCAGAGAGGGGCAGGGCCCGCCCAAGGCUGCACAGUGAGUAUGAUCUGGAAGCCCCCAGGGCCGGCAAAGGGGUGCAGGGUGCUGGGGCUGAGGUAGUCCGGGGAGCUGGCCCCGCUGGGAUGUGCUGGGCCUGAGACAGUCACAGCUUCCCCUGGGCUCCUCUUCUCUCAUUUCUUUCCUCUUCCUGCCCCGCCCCUCAGCAGAAUCUCUGCCCCCAACACCUACAGCCCCUGCCCUCCUUCUGAGGCUGUGGAAACGGAGUCACAGGGAGGUGGAGUCAGGCAGGAGAUGUAUCCAGGCUUCCUGACUGCCCGCUCCCUCUUCACGUUGCUUCUCCUGCCAUCCGGUGCCCAGCGAGGCUCUGAGAAGCCGGGACACUCUGCCCAGGGACUGCCUCCCUGGCCCGGACCCUGGGGGCUGCGGGGACCUCCGGCGGGUCCCGGGCUGGGCUUCCCCGUCCCACCAUCCAGCUGCCCCAGGAUGAGCAAGGCUGGCCCAGCAUCUCUGAGUGAGUGGGGAAGGGAGGGGAAAGCCAAAACUUUAAGGUAUAUGAACUGUGAAAUUAAAUCGAAAUACUCAAAUAAGGAAUCACAUAACAACAUAAGCAAAGAUGUUUACCAGAGCUUGAAGUUAAAUACAGAUUUUUUCAUAAACCCAAACACAAAACACAAUAAAGUUCUGUGGGAUGUUAAAUAUAAUUUACAGUGGGAAGGAUGCUCCUCGCCGUC
rnacentral:lncRNA from 1 species